rnacentral:sRNA from 1 species
ACAAGCAGGGAUGGCGUCGCUUCAGCGUUCUCGGGUGCUACGCUGCUGCAGCUGCCGCCUCUUCCAGGCGCACCAGGUAAAAAAGAGUGUCAAGUGGACAUGCAAAGCUUGUGGAGAGAAGCAGUCCUUUUUGCGGAGUUCCCCAGAUAUGGAGCUCCUGCUUCCGAGCUUCCUGUUCCUUCAGGAAGUGAAAUGGAUGGAGCAGAAUCUGGAAAGACUGUUCAGUCAGAUUCUCUGCUCCAAGUCCAUAGAAUCUCAUUCCAAGCCAACUGGAAGAGCUGAGUCUCAAUUAUAAAUUCCUAGGAGAAGCAACCUGGUUGGCCCAGGCUGACUCGGAUGUCCACCUCUGGUCCAGUCAACUGGGAUUGGGUCUCAGAAGAGAGGGCUGGCUUACCAGGUAGGCAGACACCCCACGUGGUGAGCAUGGCUUGUUUGAGAUGUAUAUAUUUCUACAUUCUCCUUGAGGAAGCCUUCUUACUGCCCUCAAUGCCUCUGUGCUGUGUGUGGCAUGUGGUGUAUGGCUGACUGGGCCACAGUAACAAACACA